rnacentral:lncRNA from 1 species
UGAAUAUAUGCAAGAGUUCGUAGUAGAUUGGUCUUUAGGAGAACCUCUCUCGAUUAUUCUCCUAACUAGGUUUAAAUAAUAAUUCAACUAGACUCUUUCAAUUAUUAAGAAGAAUUAAUGAAUUCAACCAACAAGAUAAUGCAAAGAUAUCACAAGUAUGCCUCUCUCAAUUAGAUGAACAUGUGAAUAUAGAUGCAACAAUUAAAACACUCAAAAUGAUUCAAUACAUAAAAACUAGAGUUAAUAUCCAUAAACAAAUAUCAAUACACCAAAUCCAUCAAUCCCUAAAGAGAACUACUCCAUAGAUAUGGAGUAAUUCAUCACAAAUAUAAAGAAAAACAUAAAACGAUCCAAACUCUUGUCUUGAGUGAGGAUUGAAUGAUGAAUCCAUUGUGCUUUCGCUUCUCCACCUUCUCUCUAGCCUCCUUAGGUCUUAGCUGUGUCAAAAAUGAAAUCACCUUUUUCUAGCCGAAAUAGGAAAACUUGCAAACUUAUUGCUUUUCAUGCAUCACACUGUGCGUCGCCCAGUGCGCCGCAUUACUGCUUUUUCCUGACACGCCCCAAAAACCCAGUCUCUGAAGUUUGUCAUUUUUUGCAGAUUUUUUCAGUGGUGCGUCGCCCAGUGCGAUGCACCAGUGUAUUUUUCGGCAGAUUAUUCUUCCUUGAAUUUUGACGCCCAAAAGUGAUCCUCGACCCCCGAACACUAUUCUGAAUUAAUCCUUGGGCUUUUACUCAAACUUCAAAGCUCCAGAAUAUCUUGAAUUUAUUCCAUAACAUCUACAUAUCGAAAUCAGUCCUACAAGGCAUAAAACACACAAUUAGUGCAAAACACUAGCAAUUUACGCUCAAACUCAAUUAAAGUGCCGUAAUUGGAAUGUAAUAAGCGACUAAAAUAUAAGAUUAUAGCCUACCAUCAAGCACUAGGUUAGGUUACCAAGGUCUCAUGAGUCACGAGCAAGCAUAGUAGAGUCUAAAGGAUCAGUACGGAAACAUCUGUACUUAUCUUCCAGAGGCUAUGGAAUUUAGGAACAAUUUCACUUCUAUUCUACUCUGUCGUGCGAUUUUAUUCUAUCAUUGACGAUUAAACUCUUCUAUUCUUGUACUCUUGCAGAUGGCGAGAACACGUUCUAUAUCUACCACCGGACAGGAGCCAGAUCCCCAGUGACAGCUACGACUAGGGGCCGAGGCCGAGGUAGAUGCAGAGGCAGAGCUCAAUCUAGAGCUCGAGUAGAAUCACCUAUUGUUGAACCUCGGGUGGAUUUGGAAGCGGAGAUUCCAGCUAAGACGGUACCUGUUGGACCAGUUCAGGUUCCAGAAGGAUUCAUAGCUACUCUAGUACUUCAAGAUGCUCUAGUCCAUUUGGUGAGUCUUAUGGAGGGUGUGGACCAAAUUGGUGUAUUUGUAGUGGCACCAGCCGUCUCACAAGGUGGGGGAGAAUCACAAACUCUUACAACUCCCGCUCCGGUGCAGACAACUCCUUUGUAUCAGGCUCCAGUAGCCCAUCCAGUUGGUGUAAUUCAUCCAGUUGUUGCGGCACAGGCCAAUGGCAGACCUACUUUGUCUUCUGAGGCUUUGUUGAGGUUGGACAAGUUUACCAAGAUAUUUCCAAUCCAUUUCAGUGGUACACCUUCUAAGGACCCACGAGAUAUUCUGGACCGCUGCUAUAAGGUAUUGCAGAACAUGGAAUAGUUGAAAGCAAUGGGGUUGGUUUUGCUGUAUUUCAGAUGACUGGUUCCGCCAAGAGGUGGUGGAAAGAUUAUGUAUUUACUAGACCAAUUGGUUCGCCUGCAGUUACCUGAGAAUAGUUCUCGCAGCUAUUUCUGGAGAAGUUCCUUCCUAUUACCUUGAGAGAGAAUUAUCGGAGAGAGUUUGAGCGUCUCCAGCAAGGCAGCAUGUCGGUCACUCAGUAUGAGACCCGCUUUGUGGUUUUAGACCGUUAUGUUCUUCUUCUGCUUCCUACCGAGAAAGAGAGGGUGAGGAGGUUCAUUGAUGGACUCGUUCAGCCUAUCAAGCUACUGAUGGCCAAGGAGACAAGGAAUGAGAUUUCUUUUCAGACGGCUGCAAAUGUCUCCAGGCGGAUCGAGAUGGUUCUUUCUCAGGAGAGAGGGCCAGUGUCAGAUAAGAGGCCGCGUUAUUCCGGUAAUUUUAGAGGCACCUCAUCUGUAGGCAGGGGUACUUCUGGUAGAGGACAUAUUCCCAGGCAAUUUUAUUCAGCACUUCAGACUUCUUAUGGUGCUUUAGGGAAUCAUGGUUAUUAUGUUCCUUACCUUGGGCAGCCAGCAUUUACUGCACAUUCAGCUCCUAUCAGUGUACCACCACUUCAGAGUCACUACGGUGGUUAUCUGACCCGUUUAGGUCAGCUUCAGCUUCAACAACCACGGCAGCAGGAUGUGUGUUAUGAGUGUGGGAACAUUGGUCACAUCAGGAGGCAUUGUCCUAGGUUGUUGAGCAAUAGACCUCAACAGGAUUCUCAUGCCAUCAUUUUGGCACCGGUUGCUCCAUUGCCUGACCGACCAGCUAGGGGUAGGGGCUAGACUGUUAGAGGUAGAGGUCAGACAGCUAGAGGUAGAGGUCAGACUAGUAGAGGUUGAGGCCAGACUGCUAGAGGUGGAGGCCAGCCAGCUAUGGCCUGUCCUAGAGAUGUAGUUCAGACUGGUGGGGCCUAGCCCCGAUUCUAUGCUUUCCCAGCUAGGCCUGAGGCCGAGUCAUCCGAUGUCGUGAUCAAAGGUAUUGUUCCAGUUUUCCAUAGAGAUGCCUCAGUGUCAUGUUACUUACUCCUAUGUGUCAUGCUACUUUACUUCAUAUUUGAUUGUACCCCGUGAUUCUCUGAGUGCGUUUGUUUAUAUUUCCACACUAGUGGGAGAUUCUGUUGUGGUAGAUCAUGUCUAUCAUUUGUGUGUGGUUACUAUUGGGUGUCUCGAGACUAGUGUGGAUCUUCUACUUCUUGACAUGGUAGAUUUUGACGUCAUAUUGUGUAUGGAUUGGCUGUCACCUUAUCAUGCUAUAUUGGACUGUCAUGCCAAGACGAUGACCUUAGCCAUGCCAGGGUUACCUCUAUUGGAGUGGAAAGGAACUCCUGGUCGUUCUACCAGCAGGGUUAUCUAUUAUAUGAAGGCUCAGUGUAUGGUCGAGAAGGGGUUUCUAUCUUAUUUGGCUUAUAUUCGCGAUCCCAGUGCGGAUGUUCCUUCUAUGGACUCAGCCCCAGUUGUUCGUGAAUUUCCAGAAGUAUUUCCUGCAGAUUUGUCGGGGAUGCCACCCGACAGAGAUAUUGACUUAUGUAUUGAUUUAGCUCCGGGCACUCAGCCCAUUUCUAUUCCUCCAUACCGUAUGGCCCCGUCGGAGUUGAGGGAAUUAAAGGAGCACUUACAAGACUUGCUUGAUCAGGGAUUCAUUAGACCUAGUGUCUCACCCUGGGGUGCACCAGUGUUAUUUAUAAAGAAGAAAGAUGGUUCUAUGCGAAUAUGUAUAGAUUACCGAUAGUUGAACAAGGUCACUAUUAAAAACAAAUAUCCGUUGCCAAGAAUUGAUGACUUAUUUGAUCAACUUCAGGGUGCCAAGGUGUUUUCAAAGAUCGAUUUGAGGUCCGGUUAUCAUCAGUUGAAUAUUAGGGCAUCUGAUAUCCGUAAGACAACUUUUCGGACCCGGUAUGGGCAUUAUGAAUUCCUAGUGAUGUUAUUUGGGAUUACUAAUGCCCAAGCAGCAUUUAUGGAUUUGAUGAAUCGGGUGUUCAAGCCCUAUCUGGAUUCUUUUUUGGUUGUAUUCAUUGAUGACAUCUUGAUUUACUCUAGCAAUCGAGAGGAGCAUGAACAACAUCUUCAGAUUAUGCUUCAGACUUUGAAGAAUAAUCAGUUAUAUGCCAAAUUUUCAAAAUAUGAGUUUUGGUUAAACUCGGUUGCCUCUUGGGGGCAUGUUGUAUUGCAGAAGGCAUAAAGGUAGAUCCUAAGAAGAUUGAGGCAGUUCAGAACUGGCCUAGACCUACUUCAGUUAAAGAGAUACGGAGUUUUCUGGGUUUGGCAGGUUAUUAUCGCCGGUUCGUGGAAGGGUUUUCAUCUAUAGCAAACUCGUUGACCAAAUUGACACAGAAAGGUGUUCCAUUCAGAUGGUCAGACAAGUGUGAGUUGAGCUUUCAGAAGCUCAAGACUGCUUUGACUACGACGCCAUUGUUGGUGUUAUCCACAGGUUCAGGAUCGUACACGGUGUAUUAUGAUGCAUCUUGGAUUGGACUAGGUGCAGUAUUAAUGCAAGAUGGAAGGGUGAUUGCUUAUGCAUCGCGACAUUUGAAAGUCCAUGAGAAGAAUUAUCCUAUUCAUGACUUAGAAUUGGAAGCCAUUGUUCAUGCGCUGAAGAUUUGGAGACACUACCUUUACGGCGUGUCAUGUAAAGUAUUCACAGAUCAUCGUAGUGUACAGUAUCUAUUCAAACAGAAAGAUCUUAAUUUGAGGCAGAGAAGAUGGUUGGAGAUGUUGAAAGACUAUGAUAUCACCAUUUUGUAUCAUCCGAGAAAGGCCAAUAUGGUGGCCGAUGCUUUGAGUAGAAAGGUUGUGAGUAUGGGCAGCCUUGCGUAUAUUCCAGUUAGUGAGAGGCCGCUCGUUGCAGAUGUUCAAACUUUGGCCAAUCAGUUCGUAAGGUUAGUUAUUUUAGAGCCCAGUCAGGUUCUAGCUUGUACAGUCACUGGAUCUUCUUUAUAUGAGCACAUCAGAGAGCAGUAGUGUAAUGAUCCUCAUUUACUUGUCCUUAAGGACACGGUGCGGCACGGCGGUGGAAAGUAGGUUGUUGUGGGAGAUGAUGGAGUUCUGUGGAUGCAGGGUCAUAUUUGUGUUCCUAAUGUAUCAAUCUGGGUACCGCCAAAUAUAAGGUGAACUGCGUACCUCAAUCUGGGUACCGCCAAAAUGUAUCAAGAUUUACGACAACAUUAAUGGUCAAGGAGAAUGAAAAAGGAUAUAGUUGCAUAUGUAGCUCGGUGACUAAAUUGUCAGCAAGUCAAGUACGAGCAUCAGAGACCUGGUGGUUUGCUUUAGAAGUUAGAAAUUUCUUAGUGGAAGUGGGAGCGUAUCACUAUGGAUUUUGUUGUUGGACUCCUACUGACUCAGAGAAAGUUUGAUGCAGUAUAGGUCAUUGUGGACAAGUUGACCAAGUCAGCACAUUUUAUUUCAGUGGCAAUUACCUAUUUUUCAGAGCGGUUAGCUGAAAUUUACAUUCGUGAGAUUGUCCGCCUUCACGGUAUGCCCGUGUCUAUUAUUUUAGAUUGAGGUACGCAGUUCACCUCACAUUUUUGGUAGGCUAUACAGCAUGAGUUAGGCACGCGGGUUGAGUUGAGUACAACAUUUCAUCCACAGACAGACGGACAGUCCGAGCGCACUAUUCAGAUAUUGGAAGAUAUGCUUCGCUCUUGUGUUAUAGACUUUGGAGGUUCUUGGGAUCAGUUCUUGCCACUUGCGGAGUUUGCCUAUAAUAACAGCUACCAGUCGAGCAUUCAGAUGGCUCCAUAUGAAGUAUUAUAUGGGAGGCGAUGUCAUUUGCCAGUGGGUUGGUUUGAACCGAAACAAGCUCGGUUGUUGGGUACUGAUUUGGUACAGGAUGCCUUGGAUAAGGUCAAGGUUAUCCAAGAUCGACUUCGCAUAGCUUAGUCUAGGAAAAAGAGUUAUACUAACCUUAAGGUUCGUGAUGUAGCAUUCAUGACUGUAGAAAGAGUAUUGCUCUAGGUUUCACCUAUGAAAGGUGUAAUAAGAUUCGGAAAGAAGGGCAAGUUAAUCCCUAGGUAUAUCGGACCCUUUAAAAUUCUUGAAAGGGUGGGUGAAGUAGCCUACAAGCUUGCACUACCACCUAGCUUAUCAGCAGUUCAUCCGGUAUUCCAUGUAUCAAUGCUCCGAAAAUAUCAUCGUGAUCCGUCCCAUGUAUUAGACUUCAGCUCAGUCCAAUUGGCAGGUCCGACAGUUGAGGAGGAGCCGGUAGCUAUUCUAGACUGGCAGGUCCGACAGUUGAGAUCUAAGAGUUAUCCUUCAGUUCGGGUGCAAUGAAGAGGUGUAACGACUCGGCCGGUCAUUUUGCGUAUUACAACAUUGUUUCCCCAUUUACUGCUCAAAUUGUACUUUACAGUUGUUGUGUGAAUUAUCAGGGUAAUUGGUUCGGGUCCAGUAAGGUUUUCAAAGGAAUUGGAACACUUAGUUCCAAGGUUUAAAGCUUAAGUUAAAAUAGUGACCGGAUGCGGACUUAUGUGUAAACGACCUCGGAUCUGUAGUGGAAUUUGGCUUGAAUUACCGAAAGUUGAAUUUUUGGAAAGUUUGACCGGGGGUUUGACUUUUUGAUAUCGGAGUCAGAAUCCGAUUCCGGAAAUUUGAAUAGGUCUGUAGUGUGAAAUGUGACUUGUGUGCAUAAUUUGAGGUCAAUCGGACAUGAUUUGAUAGGUUUCGGCGUCGUUUGUGCAAUUUGGAAAUUUAUUAGGCUUGAAUACGUGUGUAGGUCAUAUUUUUGAGGUUGUUAGGUAUGAUUUGAGGCCUCGAGUAGGUCCGUGUUAUGUUAUGGAACUUGUUGGUAUGUUCGUACGUGGACCCGAGGGCCUCGGGUGAGUUUCGGAUUGUUAACAGAUUGAUUUUUGAAUUUGAAAGACUGCAGGAACUGCUGCCUACUGGUGUGAUCGCACCUGCGAAGAUUGUGAUCGCAGGUGCGAAGCCGCAUGUGCGUGAAAUAAGCCGCAGAAGCGGCCAAGAGUGGGACUGGGCAGUGCUCGCAGAUGCGAGGAAUUUUCCCCAUCUGCGAGGCCGCAGGUGCGAAGGUGUUGCGCGGAUGCGGACUGGGGCUGGCCUUGGGCGAUCGCAGGUGCGAAGGGUUUGUGCAUAUGCGAGCCCGCAGAUGCGAGGUUUUGAAAGGUUGGCAUUGUCCGCAGGCACGCAAUUUGUUCCGCAAAUGCGGAUACGCAGGUGCAAGCCCAGGCACCGCAGGUGGGGAAAUGCCUGGGCAGUGUUUAAAACGAGGGUUCCGAGAUUUUUUCUCAUUUUGGACAUUUUGGAGCUCGGCUUGGGCGAUUUUGGAGAGGAAAUUUUUCACACAACUUGGGGUAAGUGUUCUUAACUCCCUUGUGAUUAUAUUCCAUGAAUAUAUCUUCAUUUUUGGUGUAAGAUUAUUGAAUCUUCAAGAGAAAUAGAAGGAAAUUUCUAUAAUGUCAUAAAAUGAAUUUUUCAAGUUUGAAUACCGAUUUGGAGUCGGAUUUGAGUGAAAUUAGUAUGGUUGAACUUGUAAUUGGAUGGGUUGUAGUAUUUUGGGAGUUUCAUCAGAUUUCGAUACGUGGGCCCCACGGAUGAUUUUUGGGGUGUAAUUUCGGAUUUUAUGGAAAAUAUUAGUGUUUUGAUAUGGAAUUAAUUCUUAUAAAUUGUGUGGACUGAGUCAAAUUAUUGUGACUAGAUUAUUGGAAUUAAUUCUUAUAAUUUCUGGAGCAUUGCUUAGCUUGCUCGACAUUGGAUUUGGCAUGUUCGAGGUAAGUAACUCUUGUAAUCUUGGAGUUGAGGGUAUGAACCCGGAAUAUAUGUAUUUCGUGAAUUGUUGAAAGGUGACGCACAUGCUAGGUGAUGGGCGUGUGGGCGUGCACUAUCGAAAUUGUGACAUAAUUAUUUCUAUGAAAUUUUGUAGUUAAAUGAUCUUGGCAUUUUUCAUGCGUUUUAUGAGUUAGAGAAAUUAANNNNNNNNNNNNNNNNNNNNNNNNNNNNNNNNNNNNNNNNNNNNNNNNNNNNNNNNNNNNNNNNNNNNNNNNNNNNNNNNNNNNNNNNNNNNNNNNNNNNNNNNNNNNNNNNNNNNNNNNNNNNNNNNNNNNNNNNNNNNNNNNNNNNNNNNNNNNNNNNNNNNNNNNNNNNNNNNNNNNNNNNNNNNNNNNNNNNNNNNNNNNNNNNNNNNNNNNNNNNNNNNNNNNNNNNNNNNNNNNNNNNNNNNNNNNNNNNNNNNNNNNNNNNNNNNNNNNNNNNNNNNNNNNNNNNNNNNNNNNNNNNNNNNNNNNNNNNNNNNNNNNNNNNNNNNNNNNNNNNNNNNNNNNNNNNNNNNNNNNNNNNNNNNNNNNNNNNNNNNNNNNNNNNNNNNNNNNNNNNNNNNNNNNNNNNNNNNNNNNAAAUUGAAAAUUCAUACUGAGUCAUAUUCAUUUCAUUGCAUAUCAUAUCUCAGUCUUUGUUGUUAUUUAUUGAUACAUCAUAUCAUCAUAUUUGGGCUAUUUUUCAUGACACUGUGAGCCCGAGAGACUGGAGAGAUUGAUGAUUGAGUGAGGCCGAGGGCCUGAUUUGUGAGGAUAUUUAUGGGAUCGGGCUGCAUAUCUAGCAGAUCUUCCGGGCAUGCCGCCUGAUAGGGACAUCGACUUUGGUAUUGAUUUAUUACCGGCCACUCAACCCAUCUUUAUUUCUCCAUAUCGCAUAGCUCCGCCUGAGUUGAAGGAGUUAAAGGAGCAGUUGUAUGAGUUUCUUGAUAAGGGCUUCAUUCGGCCCUGUGUGUCACCUUGGGGUGCUCCAGUCUUGUUUGUGAAGAAGAAGGAUGGUUACAUGCGCAUGUGUAUUGAUUAUCGCCAGUUGAACAAAGUUACGGUGAAGAACAUGUAUCAAUUGCCUUGUAUUGAUGAACUAUUUGAUCAGUUACAGGGUGGCAGAGUGUUUUCCAAGAUUGACUUGCAUUCAAGCUAUCAUCAGUUGAAGAUUCGGGAGCCAGAUAUCCUGAAGGCUGCUUUCAGGACUCGGUAUGGUCACUACGAGUUCCUUUUGAUGUCAUUUGGGCUGACCAACGCCCCGGCAGCAUUUAUGCAUUUGAUGCAUAGUGUAUUCUGGCCCUAUCUUAACUCAUUCGUCAUUGUGUUUAUUGACGACAUGCUGUUGUACUCCCGCAGUCUGGAGGAUCAUGAGCAGCACCUGAGGACUGUGCUCCAGACCUUGAGAUAAAAGAAGUUAUAUGCAAUGGUUCCAUAGAAGGUUGAAAUAGUACAGAGUUGGCCUAGAGCAUCCUUAGCUUCAGAGAUUCGGAGUUUUCUUGAUUUGGCGGGGUAUUACCGUCGAUUUGUAGAGGGUUUCUCAUCUAUUGCAGCACCUUUGACCAGGCUGACCCAGAAGGGUGCUCCGUUCAAGUGGACAAAGGAGUGUGAGGAGAGCUUUCAAAAGCUCAAGACAGCUUUGACUACUGCCCCAGUGUUUGUAUUACCUAUAGUUUCGAGGUCUUAUACUGUAUAUUGUGAUGUGUCACAUAUUUGUCCCAGCGCGGUGUUGAUGCAGGACAGUAGGGUGAUUAUCUAUGCGUCUAGACAAUUGAAGGUGCAUGAGAAGAACUAUCCUGUCCACGACCUUGAAUUAGCAGCUAUUGUUCAUGCCUUGAAGAUUCGGCGGCACUAUUUGUACGGUGUCCCUUGUGAUAUCUACACCGAUCACCUGAGUUUGUAAAAUCUGUUCAAACAGAAGGAUCUUAACUUCCAUCAGCAAAGGUGGUUAGAGCUACUUAAGGACUAUGAUAUCACCAUUCUAUACCAUCCGAGGAAGGCCAAUGUGGUAGCCGAUGCCUUGAGUCGCAGGGCGGAGAGUUUGGACAGCUUAGCAUAUCUACCAGCAGCGGAGAGGCCAUUGGCAUUGGAUGUUCAGGUCUUGGCCAACCAGUUUGUUAGAUUGGAUGUUUCUGAGCUGAGUCGAGUUUUGGCUUGUGUGGUUUCUCAGUCUUCUCUUUAUGAUCGUAUCAGGGAGCGUCAAUAUGAUGACGCAUAUCUGCUUGUCCUUAAGGACAUGGUUCAGCACGGUUAUGCCAAGUAGGUCACUAUUGGAGAUGACUGUGCAUUGAGGAUACUGGACAGGCUAUGUGUGCCCAAUGUAGAUGGUUUGCACGAGUUGAUUCUCGAGGAGGCUCACAAUUCGCAGUACUCCAUUCAUCCAGGUGCCGCGAAGAUGUAUCAGGACUUGAGGAAGCAUUAUUGGUAGAGGAGAAUAAAAAAGGACAUAGUAGAGUAUGUAGCUCGGUGCCUAAAUUGCGAGCAGGUGAAGUAUGAGCAUCAGCGGCCAGGUGGAUUGCUUCAGAAGCUAGUGAUUCCGGAGUGGAAAUGGGAGCGAAUUACUAUGGAUUUUGUUUUUGGACUCCCAUGGACUCAGAGGAAGUUCGAUGUAGUUUGGGUGAUUGUGGAUAGGUAUACCAAGUCAGCUAAUUUCAUACCAGUAAUGACCACUUAUUCUUUUGAGCAGCUAGCUUGAGUUUAUAUCCGCGAGAUUGUCACGCUUCAUGGCGUGCAGAUAUCUAUCAUUUCUAACCAGGGUACGCAGUUUACAACACGGUUUUGGAGGGUCGUACAGCAUGAGUUAGGUACUCGAGUAAAGUUGAGCAUAGCAUUUCACCCUCAGACGGACGGGCAGUCCGAGUGCACUAUUCAGAUACUGGAGGAUAUGUUUCGUGCAUGUGAUUGAGUUUAGGGGUUCUUGGGAUCAGUUCUUGCCACUUGCGGAGUUUGCCUACAGCAAUAGUUAUCAGUCGAGCAUUUAGAUGGCCCUGUUUGAGGCUUUGUAUGGUAGACGGUGUCGGUCUCCAGUGGGUUGGUUUGAGCCGGGUGAGGCAAGGCUAUUGAGUACAUACUUUUUUCAGGAUGCUUUGGAAAAGGUUAAGGUGAUUCGGGAUUAACUUUAUAUAGCCCAAUCUAGGCAGAAGAGUUAUGCGGAUCGGAAGGUUCGCGAUGUUGCAUUCAUGGUUGGGGAGCGGGUCUUGCUUCGGGUUUCACCCAUGAAGGGUGUUAUGAGGUUCGGGAAGAAGGGCAAGUUGAGCGCUAGGUAUAUCAGACCUUUUGAGAUUCUUGAGAGGGUUGAAGAGGUGGCUUAUAGACUUGCACUACCACCUAGUCUAGCUGCAGUUCAUCCAGUAUUCCAUGUUUUUAUGCUCCGGAAUUAUCACGGCGAUCCGUCUCAUGUGUUAGAUUUCAGCUCAGUCCAGUUAGACAAGGAUUUGUCAUAUGUUGAUGUAACGACCCGGGCGGUCGUUUUGAGUAUUAUAGCCCCGUUUCCCCAGUUACUACUUAUUCUGUGUUCAGUUACAAUUAUGUGACUUGUUGGGUAGAUUUCGGAAUGAAUUGGAACACUUAGUUCCAAGGUUUAAAACUUAAGUUGAGAAGGUUGAUCGGAUGUUGACAUACGUGUAAACGACCCCGAAAAAUUUUGCUAAGGAAAUUAAGGUUUUGGGUUGAAGAAUGCACUAAAUUGUUAAUGAAAUUUUUUGGCAAAAAAAGGUAUUUCUGCAGUCCACUUUGCGACUGAAGAAUCACUCUGCGGGCCGCAGAAUGGCCGCAGAGUGAGGAAGGACUGGCAAGUUUUGACGUUAUUUUGUGGAUGAUUCUGCGACCACAUAAUAGUUCUGCGAUGCAGUUCGACCGCAGAAUAGGUUUGGGGGCCGCAUAGUGACCUCACACCCGGGCAGAAGAUGCCCAGUUCCGGUAAGCCAUUUUGCGGGCCGCAAAAGCAUUAUGCGGUCGCAUAUGCGACAACAGAGUGUGUUUCGACAUUUCAUUUUUCUGGUUUUAUAACCCGACCCAACUUCGAUAUAUAGCCUUUGAAGUCAUUUUGGAGGAAAAAUCUGACAUUUUUAGAGAGAAGGGAGAGUGUUCUGGAGAGAGGAAGAAGCUCAAGUGCUAUGUUUAUUAAGAUCUUGUUCAAGCUUUGAAGUCCAACAAGGAAAUAUCACAAGAUCUUCACCCAAGAGCUAAGGUUCUAACCCUAGUCUUCAAUUUUGAGUUUGGGUAAAGAUGGGUGAUUGGGAGUAUGAUUCUUGGAUGUGAGAGUAUUAUUUAUACAUGCUUGUACCAAUAAGGUUUGUGGGAAGAUUGUUGAGUUCAAAUGGGUAAAGAUUGGGCUGAAAAUGGUAGAAAUCUUCAAAGACUUUAAUUAAAGAUUUGAGGGUCGAGUUGAUGUCGGAAUUUGGUAAAAUUUGUAUGGUUUAACUCGUGAUUGGAUUGGCAGUCAUAUUUCAUAACUUUUUUCGGGUUCCGAGACGUGGGCCCCACGGGAGGUUUUUGAGUUAAAUUUCGGAUUUUGUUGAAAAAUUUGUAUUUUCAUAAGGAAUUAAUUCCUAUAAUUUGUAUUGACUAAAUCGAAUUAAUUGUGGCUAGAAUUCUAGGCGUUCGGAGGCCGAUUCGCGAGGCAAAGGCAUAGCGGAGUAAAGAGUUACACGGUUUGAGGUAAGUAACAUUUCUAAACUUGGUUCUGAGGGUAUGAAUCUCUGAAUUUUGUGUUAUAUCAAUUGUUGGAGGUGACGCACAUGCUAGGUGACGAGCGUGUGGGCAUACACCAUAGAAAUUGUGACUUAAAUAAAUCCUAUGGAGUUGUAAAAUUUAAGAAUCAUAUUAUUAUUCUUGUAUCCUCCACGUGUUUGAGAAAUUAAGGUGAGGCUCGUAUUAAAGAUCAUGUUUAGACUACGCGCCGAUAUUUCGGGACCCAUGGGGUCGUAUUGCUAUUAAAUUAAUUAUUUUAAAAUGUACAUUUUAUACUCAGUCAUGUUCAUCCAUUGUGAGGAUAUUUAUGGGAUCGGGGCUGCCCGCCUGCAGUAGGCCACAUCGGCUUUAUAUAUUAUUAUUAUUAUUAUUAUUAUUAUUAUUAUUAUGGAAUCGGGUUGCACGCCGCAGCAGGCCUUAUAAGCUUUCUUGUUCUGGAUCGGGGCUGCACGCCACAACAUGCCUUAUUAUAUUUAUUAUUAUAUGGAUUAGGGUUGCCCGCCCGCAGCAUGCCAUAUCAGCUUUAUAUCACGCUUGGGCUGAAGGAGCCCCUCCGGAGUCUGCACCCCACAUAGUGAGCGUAGAUGAUUAUAUAUUCGGGGUGGAUUUCCCAGGGCAAGAACUUGCCUUACUUAUUUGUAUUUGUGAUGAAUUUCCCUGGACAUGGAUCUUGUCCGAAUUAUUAUAAUUUGGGGAUAAAUUUACCCCUGGGCUGGAUUGGCCUUAUACGGUAUUGAGUCACUGACUGUCAAUUAAUGUAUACAUAUACGGAAUGGAACUUCCCUGGGCUGGAUUGGCCAUAUAUAGUACUAAGUGACCGAGUAAUUGUGACCGUGAGUACACGAGGUUUUCCACUAAGAUGUCAUAUUCCUCAUAUCAUUCAGUAUUGAUCUAUUUUACUUGUAUGGAGUUAACUGUUGAACUUGAAAGCAUGCCUAUAUUUCUGUACUAUUAUUUCUAUACUAGAUUGUACCUGCUGAGCUCAUCAUUACUUUCAGCCCAGAGGUUAGUCUUGUUACUUAUUGAGUUGGUUGUACUCAUACUACACCUUGCACCUCGUGUGCAGAUCCAGGUACUCACGGAUACGGAUGCUGCUAGAUUUCAGAGAUCUAUCUGUUGAAGAUUAUCAAUGUAGUUGCUUGGCAUCCGCAGACCUUGACUCUCUUUCCAUUCAGAUAUUAUAUUGUUUUAUAUUUCCAGAUAGUGUUUUUAUCAGUCAGACUAUGUUAUCAUUUAGAUGCUCAUCUACUCAGUGACACCGGAUUUUGGGAAUGUAGUUUACGUCAAUAAUUUGUGAGAUUUUUUAUGAAAUUUAAUUAUUAUAUUUUCAAACUUAAAAGAAAUUGUGAUUUAUUGAGAUAGUCGGCUUGCCUAGUAUUGAGAUAGGCGCCAUCACGACAGGUUAGGAUUUUGGGUCGUAACAGUUGAGGAGUCGGUGUCCAUUUUGGAUAGGCAGGUUUGAAAGUUAAGGUAGAAGAACAUUGCUUCAGUGAAGGUUUAGUGGAGGGGCCAGCCAGUCGAUGAGGUGACUUGGGAGACUGAGCACGAUAUGCGCAGCCCUUACCUUCAUCAUUUCACCACUUCAGGUGUGUCUCUAUACUCUUUCGAGCUGUUACCCUAAUCUUUUCACCACUUCAGGUAUGUCUCUAUACUCGUUCGAGGACUAACGAUUGUUUUAAGAGGGGGAGGAUGUAACAACCCGGCCGGUCAUUUUGAGAGUAUGAGCCUUGAUCCCCUAAUUAUUUCUUCCUCCGCUUCAUUUUUAUGCUUACAUGACUUUCCGGGGUGCUAGGUUUCGGGUUCGGGAGAGUUUCGAAGUGAAAUGGGACACAUAGUCCCUAAGUUUGAAGUUUGAGUUGUAAGCGUUGUUUGAACUAUGUGAAGACGACUCCAGAAUAGAGUUUCGUCGGUUUCAAUGGCUCCGUAUGGUGAUUAUGGUCUUAGGAGCGUAUUCGGAUGUUGAUUUGGAGGUCCGUAGAUCAUUUCGGUGUUAAUUGGUGAAAGUUGAAUUUUGGAAGGUAUUUGGGAAAUUUGAACGCGAGUGGACUUUUUGAUAUCGGCGUAGGAUUUUGAUUCCGAAAGUUGGAGUAGGUCUGUAAUGUCAAAUGUGACGUGUGUGCAAAAUUUGAGGUCAAUCGGACGUGAUUUGAUAGAUCUCGGCAUCGUUUGUAGAAGUUGGAAUUUUCUUAGUUCAUUAGGCUUGAAUUGGGGUGCGAUUCAUGAUUUUAGCGUUGUUUGAUGUGAAUUGAAGGAUCGACUAAGUUUGUAUGAUGUUUUAGGACUUGUUGGUAUAAUUAGUUAAGGUCCCGGGGGCCUAGGGUGGAUUUCGGAUGGUUAACGGAUUGGAAUUUUGACUUAGAUGAUGGUUGAAGCUUCAGAAGAUCUGGUGUCUGGUUUCCUUCUACGCGUUCGUGAUGGUUCUCCCUCGUUCGCAUAGAGGAGUUAAGUUUUGCUGGGAUUUUUGCCUUCGCGUUCGCGAUGAGGGUCCUAUGUUCUCGAAGCUGAAGAGUCUAAAGUCUACGCGUUCGCGUGAGGGACUUCGCGUUCGCAUAGAUGUUCGAUCAGUUGGGGUUUCAGGCUUUUAGGCCACGCAUUCGCGAGUGAAGCUCCACGUUCACGAAGGCAUGGGGGCAGUGUUCGCCACAUUUGCGAGUGGGCCCUUGCGUUCACAUAGAAGGUUUUUGGACAAAAGCAUUUUUGUGCUUCGCGAACGCGAGGAUGCUUCCGCACUCGCGAAGAAGGAAUUACCUGGGCAGAUUUUAAAAGUUCAAUAUCGAGGAUUUAUGUCAUUUUUCACCAUUUGGACUCGAGAGCUCGGAAUUAGGCAUUGGAUAUAUUUUCACGUACGUGUUUGGGGUAAGUGAAUCUUACUUAGUUUUGGUUAAUUUCUACGAUUAUGCCUUUGAUUUCAUCAUUUAAUUUGUGGUUUGGGGUGGAAAAUUGGGAAAAAUUGAGAAACAAUUCUUAGGCCGGAUUUUGUGGUUUUUAUCAAGAUUUUGGUAUCGGAUUUGAGUAAUUUUGGUAUGGUUGGAAUCGUGGUUGAACGGGUAUUCAGAUUUUGUGACUUUUACCUGAUUGUGAGACAUAGGCCCGGGUCGACCUUUUGGGGCGAUUUUAUGAUUUCUUGUUAAAGUCUUGAUUUCAUUAAUUAGAUUAGUUUCUUAUAAUUAUAUUUAUAGUAUGUACUUGCUUUUGGAUAAAUUUGGGUCGUUUGGAGUCGGAAAGUCAAGGGAAAGGCAUUCUUAUUGACUGAUUUAAGCUUGGUUUGAGGUAAGUGACUUGUCUAACCUUGUGUGGGAGAAAUCUCCUUAGGAUUUGGUACUUUUGUGACAAAUUUAUAAUAUGUGAGUGCCGUAUACGCAAGGUGACGAGUGCGUACACAAGGAAAAUGUGAAAAAUCCAGUCUUCGCUAAGUGGUUUCCUUUCUAUACCUUAAAUGAGUUAUUCUAGCACGUGUAGUCUUCAAAUUUAGUCUAAUUUCACAUGUUUAUGUGUUUCAUCUCUCAGUUGAAAUAUGUACAACAUGCUUAGUUAAAUUACAUGUUGUUCCUUGAUUCUGUAUUUGUUCUUUAAUUGUAGGGUUUCCUUGUUUGAAAAAUCAUUUUUGUAUUUAUUAUGUGUUGAUUCUUCGUGAUUCUUGUUGUGAUGAUUGUUUGGUUGUGGCACGAGGUUUCUUCCGUGCGGAGUGUUAUUGGCACGAGGUUUCUUUCGUGCGGAGUGUUAUUGGCACGAGGUUUCUUCCGUGCGGAGUGUGAUUCGCACGAGGUUUCUUCCGUGCGGAGUGUUAUUGGCACGAGGUUUCUUCCGUGCGGAGUGUGAUUGGCACGAGGUCUCUUCCAUGCAGAGUGUGAUUUGGCACGAGGUUUCUUCCGUGCAGAGUGAGAUUGUAGUACGAGGUGUUUGCCGUGUCGUUGUGAGAUAUUUACUUUUGGGACUACGAGGCGGUACUUCGGGAGCGACUCUAUUGAUUUUCUCUUUUGCUGUGUUGUUUGUUGUUGUUGUUGUUCCUUAACUUGUAAGAUGUUACUUUCCUUACGUGUUAUAAUUGUCUUCCUGCUUUCCUGAGGUGUUACCUUUCCGUACAUUUCUACUGUUUAUUUACCUGCCAUCCCUUUUUAUCAUUUCGCCUUCUGCCUUAUUUCUUAUAUUCCAGUAGGGCCCUGACCUGACCUCAUCACUACUCUACUGAGGUUAGGCUUGGCACUUACUGGGCACCGUUGUGGUGUACUCAUACUUCGCUUCUGCACAUGUUUUGUGCAGAUCCAAGUACAUCCUACCAUCCUCGAUAUUAGUACGUGCUGCUGCUUGGAGACUUCAAGGUAUAUCUUCCAGCGUCCGCAGACCUCGGAGUACCCCUCGAUCCUUAUUAUGUUGUCUUUUCUUUAUUUCUUUUAGACGCUGAUGUAUAAAGACAUUUAGUACGUCCUCAGAGCUUGUGACUUGUGACUAUCGGGUUUUGGGAGUUAUUUAUACUCAAAGUUGUUGAUUUUAUUGUACGUGCCGAGCGGCAGUUUUCAGUUAUAUAUUUAUCUGUUGAAGUUUAGUCGUUAUUUCUGUUAUUAUUUCAGUUAUUCCGCAAUUGUUAGGCUUACCUAGUCUUAGAGACUAGGUACCGUCACGACAUUUUACGGAGGGAGAUUUGGAUCGUGACGCCACUAUUCUUCUGUAGAUUAGUUAUUGGCUCUACCUCAAAGUUAAAAAGGCAAAUUACAUCAAAAUUUUGUUAGUUGGUCAACUAGUUCAUUGCUUUCAAGGCUCUCAGAAAAAUCUCUCUGAAUAUGAAUGCAAAUAUUUGUUACAGCUUCCCCAUAAUUGAUCCCUUUCCCAUAUUCAACCCCUUAACCCCUCAUAGUUCCUUCAUCCUUGGACAUAUGGACAUAAAUAUUAUUACUAAAUAAUCUUACAACAACAUUCCUAAUAAAGGGAGAUGUAUUCUUUCUUUCCUUUCUAUUGCACAAUCAAAACAAGAAGAAAGAAAGAAUUAGUACAGUUGGCUCUUUACACAUACCAAAAUAAGAAAAUGUGCUCUUAUUCCUACACCACAUAUAUUUAAGCUUUCAACUCAAAUAAGGACAUUCGGUUGAGUAAGGUCAUUCACGAUACUCUUCUAUCCUCUAUUAUACUCAAAACUCAAUAAGUCUCUUAUUCACUGUAUUUGCAUCACAUUUAACGACUCUAUCCUCCAAUAGCAACAUAUUCUAAAAACUCAUCCUUUCAAUUAAAAUGUAUAAAAGUUCAAAGCCUCCUCUUAAUAGAACUGAACAGAAAUAUAAGCAAACCAUUUACAAUAAUGAGGUUAAAUUUAUUUUUCAGUUUCUUAAAGAGAAAGUGUGCAAUUCCUUCGUUCGAAUCUCGAGGUCCACUAUCACGCCAAAACCUCUGGACCAAAGGAGUAUAUGUAUAAUAUUUACUUUUCUUUAUAGGUGUUGAAAAAUAUAGCUAUAGAAACGAACAACUUCUGAAUCUCUCAAGCUCUUGAAACCUAUUUUUUUAUUUGAGCAGUAAAAAGGAUAAAUGUUCAAGAGUCAAUUGGUCUUCAAGAGUCGAAGAAACUAUCUAGGUAAUAAAGAAAUUAGCUAGGUAAUAAAUCUUCAAGGAUAAACCUAUUGAGAUAAUGCUAAAACCACAAAAUACCUAGGUAAUAAAAAGAGAGACGUAGACAGAAACUAACCGAAAAGAGGAGUGGGAGAGAAAUUGGAGCAGAAUUGGUCUUCAAGAGUCGAAGAAUAGGCUUUAAAUUUCCGCCGUUAGCCGAAAAUUGUUAUCUGCCGCUUGCCUUCGUCAGCCGCACAGGUGGAGUUGAAGAGAAAUCGAAGAAUCAAACAACACUGGUAGAAUGGAAGAGAAAUCGCAGAGAAAUAAAAUAUCGAUAGAGAAAGCGAGAGAGAGAGAGGGGGGAAAUUGGAGAAAUAUGGUUGAAAUUGGGAAUAUAGGAUUCUGGCUUGAAAUAUUAUAUUUACCUUUCUGACUAUCGCGGUCACAAAC